rnacentral:rRNA from 1 species
GAUGAACGCUGGCGGCGUGCCUAAUACAUGCAAGUCGAGCGAACGGACGAGAAGCUUGCUUCUCUGAUGUUAGCGGCGGACGGGUGAGUAACACGUGGAUAACCUACCUAUAAGACUGGGAUAACUUCGGGAAACCGGAGCUAAUACCGGAUAAUAUUUUGAACCGCAUGGUUCAAAAGUGAAAGACGGUCUUGCUGUCACUUAUAGAUGGAUCCGCGCUGCAUUAGCUAGUUGGUAAGGUAACGGCUUACCAAGGCAACGAUGCAUAGCCGACCUGAGAGGGUGAUCGGCCACACUGGAACUGAGACACGGUCCAGACUCCUACGGGAGGCAGCAGUAGGGAAUCUUCCGCAAUGGGCGAAAGCCUGACGGAGCAACGCCGCGUGAGUGAUGAAGGUCUUCGGAUCGUAAAGCUCUGUUAUUAGGGAAGAACAUAUGUGUAAGUAACUGUGCACAUCUUGACGGUACCUAAUCAGAAAACCACGGCUAACUACGU